rnacentral:lncRNA from 1 species
ACAAGCCCAAUUUUAACCCUUCCCAAACCCAUUACAAAACAACCCACCAGCCCAAACCCAAGACCCAAAACAGACCCAAAGCCCAACUACUAGCCCAAUAAUCCCAAACACCUCAGCCCAAUUACAAACAAACCCUAACCCAAACACUUUCAGAAAAAAAAAACCUAACCCCUAACCCUUGCGCCGCACCCAGGCCUGCUAGUCAACCACCCCACCGCCGUACCCACCAACUGCUCUGCCACUUGCGCCGCGCACGUCCCAUCGUCCUCCAUCAGCCCUGCAAAAUGAAGAACACACGCAAGCAGCAACAAACAAUAAAAAUUUGUAAAAUGGCUCUAUAUAAAGCCAUUCGAACAUCAAAAAGGGGGGAUUUUUGUAAAAAAAAAAAGAGACAACACAUUAGCAGAAAAAAAUAAAAGCAAACAAACAGAUUCCAGGUUGAUUUUUCCAUCAGAUUCGCAUUUUCUUUUUUUAUUUAUUUUCUUUAUUUUGUAUAUCAAAUAGAAAACAAAAAAGGGACGAGAUGAAGCCUUACCUGCGCCGCGCCGGAGAGGAGGGAAGGCGAACGGAUUCCUUCUCUUCUUUUCGGUUUUGACUCGUUUUUUAAAGGAUUCGGCUUUGAAUCCGAGUUCUAAAGGGAGUGGGCUUCAAGCGGGGCUAAGAAAGGUUUUGUUUUGCACCUCCGGCUGCCGUCUGUGGCGGAGCUACGGCGGAGGUGCGCCGGAGCCUUUGGUCGGGUCCUGGGGAGAGGGUGUUGAGAGAGUUCUGACUCUCUCUCUCUGUUUUUGUUGAAAAUGAAGAU